AUUUAAGUAGUUUAAGAAAAAUAAUGAUUUGUGGGGUCAAAGAUGUAGUAAUACCUUGAAUA
rnacentral:tRNA from 1 species